AGGCGGCUAUCGCGUGCUGUCGGGAGCGCGCACGCGCGGCCUGCCACCACCUCGGGGCGAUCUGUGCGCUUCUUCUGGCCCUCCGGCAGAUCUUUGGAAAUAACUGGGCGGGUGGCGGCGGGGUGCAGGGGUUCCCUCGGAGGCCUGGCUCGAUCCCGACCUAGGGCUUUGGAUCGGAAUCGCAGAGGCAUUUGAUCUGACGGCGGGAAGGACCUCGGGGCACCCUGACCCCAUCCUCCCUUGGUGGGACAGCCCGAAAACGGCUGUUUUUCCACAGGUAAGCAACUAUACCAUGCUGACUUCCUCCAUGGCAAGGAUUAAUCAGAAAAGCCUCUUCUGCAGGAGCCCAUGAAGGAAACACUGGAAAAGUAUAGAGGAACCAAGACAGUAUUUGUGAUGAAAGUCAAAAAAGAAGAAAGGGUAAUAAAUGGCAAUAUCAGAUGUGUCAAAAAGAACAUAAAUGAAGACAGAGAAAAUUUCACUGGAUUUGGCAAUGAGACUGCUAAAACUUCGGAGAACAGAUUCAAUAGGAUUGAAGGCAGAAAGCAGGAUGUAUCUCAUUACAAAAGCAAUAUGCGGUUAGGAAGCUGAGGCAGGUUGACAAAUUGAGCUAUGGAAGAAAAUUCAGAAUCAAUACUAUAUUACUUAUUCAUAUUCAGUUGAUAAUGACUGACAUUUUUAUUUUAUGUUUUUUAACCAAAUUAUCUUAUUUUUGUGCGCUUUUAAAAUAGUUUUCCUUUUAACCACUUUUGAUGGUUCUCCCCGCCCAUGAUCAUUAGUUUCUAGUCACUCCUCAAUUUAAAUUUCAUCCAAAUCCCCAAGAUAAAUAUAGUUAACUGUGUCUAACUAUAUAUGCAGAGCUGUUGGUAGUGUGAUUUAGUAUGUAAGCUCCUUAAAUGCCAGGAACCCAGAACCAUUUAUCUAAUUUCAAAUACAACUAAGUAGAAUACUACAUAUAUGUAUAAUAUUUUAUUUUGAUACUGACAAGUGGAAUGAAAAUUCAAGCAUUCCAAUGCCUUUCAUUUUCUUUUUGUUUGAAUUUAACUAAAUUCAAUU